CAGCAACAACCAGCCAAUUAGUAUGUCAGAAGAACAGGUCAGAUUCGGCUGAAGUCGCAGUGCAGCUCGUUGUGCUUUGGCUUAAUGCACCAGGAUGUCAUGAUUUAGAUCUUACCCUAAUAGAUAAAUCUGGCCUUCAUAGCUUUUUAACAACUUGCAUUUUAGACCAGAAGUGGGAAAGUUUCUGAGGAAUAAGGGCGUACAACUCAGGAAAACACAGAUACUGCUUGUCCAUUCAGAAAUUCUGCAGGUCAGAGAUACAGCAUUCAAAUUAAAGUUAGCCUUUAAUAAUGAA